UUAAGUCCGUAACGAGCGCAACCCUUGUCCCUAGUUACCAGCACGUUAUGGUGGGCACUCUAAGGAGACUGCCGGUGACAAACCGGAGGAAGUGGGGAUGACGUCAAGUCAUCAUGGCCCUUACGGCCUGGGCUACACACGUGCUACAAUGGUCGGUACAAAGGGUUGCCAAGCCGCGAGGUGGAGCUAAUCCCAUAAAACCGAUCGUAGUCCGGAUCGCAGUCUGCAACUCGACUGCGUGAAGUCGGAAUCGCUAGUAAUCGUGAAUCAGAAUGUCACGGUGAAUACGUUCCCGGGCCUU
rnacentral:rRNA from 1 species